GCCCCCAUCGUCUAGGGGACUAGGACGUAGCCCUUUCAAGGCUAAGACCAGAGUUCGAAUCUCUGUGGGGGCACCA
rnacentral:tRNA from 1 species